CAGUCGCCGCGGGAAUACGAAGGGUGCAAGCGUUACUCGGAAUUACUGGGCGUAAAGCGUGCGUAGGUGGUUCGUUAAGUCUGAUGUGAAAGCCCUGGGCUCAACCUGGGAAUUGCAUUGGAUACUGGCGAGCUAGAGUGCGGUAGAGGGUAGUGGAAUUCCCGGUGUUGCAGUGAAGUGCGUAGAGAUCGGGAGGAACAUCUGUGGCGAAGGCGACUGCCUGGACCAGCACUGACACUGAGGCACGAAAGCGUGGGGAGCAAACAGGAUUAGAUACCCCAGUAGUCCCUGUCUCUUAUAA
rnacentral:rRNA from 1 species